rnacentral:rRNA from 1 species
AGAGUUUGAUCAUGGCUCAGAUUGAACGCUGGCGGCGUGCCUAACACAUGCAAGUCGAGCGGUAACAGGCGUAGCAAUACGUGCUGACGAGCGGCGGACGGGUGAGUAAUGCUUGGGAAUCUUCCCGGUAGUGGGGAAUAACCAACCGAAAGGUUGGCUAAUACCGCAUACGUUCUACGGAAGAAAGCGGGGGACCGUAAGGCCUCGCGCUAUCGGAUGAGCCCAAGUCGGAUUAGCUAGUUGGCGGGGUAACGGCCCACCAAGGCGACGAUCCGUAGCUGGUCUGAGAGGACGACCAGCCACACUGGGACUGAGACACGGCCCAGACUCCUACGGGAGGCAGCAGUGGGGAAUAUUGGACAAUGGGGGAAACCCUGAUCCAGCGACGCCGCGUGUGUGAAGAAGGCCUGCGGGUUGUAAAGCACUUUUAGUGGGGAUGAAAAGCUCGGUGAUAACACCGCCGGGUCUUGACCUAACCUACAGAAAAAGCACCGGCUAACUCUGUGCCAGCAGCCGCGGUAAUACAGAGGGUGCGAGCGUUAAUCGGAAUUACUGGGCGUAAAGCGCACGUAGACGGUUCUGUAAGUCGGAUGUGAAAGCCCCGGGCUUAACCUGGGAACUGCAUUCGAGACUGCAUUACUGGAGUAUGGGAGAGGGCAGUGGAAUUUCCGGUGUAGCGGUGAAAUGCGUAGAUAUCGGAAGGAACAUCAGUGGCGAAAGCGACUGCCUGGCCCAAUACUGACGUUCAUGUGCGAAAGCGUAGGGAGCAAACAGGAUUAGAUACCCCAGUAGUCC